UGGGGAAUAUUGCACAAUGGGCGAAAGCCUGAUGCAGCAACGCCGCGUGAGUGAUGAAGGUCUUCGGAUUGUAAAGCUCUGUCUUUUGGGACGAUAAUGACGGUACCAAAGGAGGAAGCCACGGCUAACUACGUGCCAGCAGCCGCGGUAAUACGUAGGUGGCGAGCGUUGUCCGGAUUUACUGGGCGUAAAGGGUGCGUAGGCGGAUGUUUAAGUGAGAUGUGAAAUACCCGGGCUUAACUUGGGUGCUGCAUUUCAAACUGGAUAUCUAGAGUGCAGGAGAGGAGAAUGGAAUUCCUAGUGUAGCGGUGAAAUGCGUAGAGAUUAGGAAGAACACCAGUGGCGAAGGCGAUUCUCUGGACUGUAACUGACGCUGAGGCACGAAAGCGUGGGUAGCAAACAGGAUUAGAUACCCUGGUAGUCCACGCCGUAAACGAUGAGUACUAGGUGUAGGAGGUAUCGACCCCUUCUGUGCCGCAGUAAACACAUUAAGUACUCCGCCUGGGAAGUACGAUCGCAAGAUUAAAACUCUAAAGUGAAUUGACGGGGGUCAUA
rnacentral:rRNA from 1 species